rnacentral:rRNA from 1 species
UGGCGGUAUGCCUAACACAUGCAAGUCGAACGAUGUCUUCGGACAUAGUGGCGGACGGGUGAGUAACGCGUGAGAAUCUGCCUUAAGGAUGGGGAUAACAGUGGGAAACGACUGCUAAUACCCAAUAUGCGGAGACGUGAAAAUAAUUUGCCCUGAGAGGAGCUCGCGUCCGAUUAGUUAGUUGGUGAGGUAAAAGCUUACCAAGGCAGCGAUCGGUAGCUGGUCUGAGAGGAUGAGCAGCCACACUGGGACUGAGACACGGCCCAGACUCCUACGGGAGGCAGCAGUGGGGAAUUUUCCGCAAUGGGCGAAAGCCUGACGGAGCAAUACCGCGUGAGGGAGGAAGGCUUUUGGGUUGUAAACCUCUUUUGUUAAGGAAGAAGCAAGUGACGGUACUUAACGAAUAAGCAUCGGCUAACUCCGUGCCAGCAGCCGCGGUAAUACGGAGGAUGCAAGCGUUAUCCGGAAUCAUUGGGCGUAAAGCGUCCGCAGGUGGUUCAUCAAGUCUGCUGUUAAAGACAGAAGCUCAACUUCUGGUCGGCGGUGGAAACUGGUGAACUAGAGUACGGUAGGGGUUGAGGGAAUUCCCAGUGUAGCGGUGAAAUGCGUAGAUAUUGGGAAGAACACCAGUGGCGAAGGCGCUCAACUGGGCCGUAACUGACACUCAGGGACGAAAGCUAGGGUAGCGAAAGGGAUUAGAUACCCCUGUAGUCUUAGCUGUAAACGAUGAACGCUAGGCGUUGCUUGUAUCGACCCGAGCAGUGCCGUAGCCAACGCGUUAAGUGUUCCGCCUGGGGAGUACGCACGC